rnacentral:rRNA from 1 species
GAUGAACGCUGACAGAAUGCUUAACACAUGCAAGUCAACUUGAAUUUGGGUUUUUAACUUAGGUUUGGGUGGCGGACGGGUGAGUAACGCGUAAAGAACUUGCCUCACAGCUAGGGACAACAUUUGGAAACGAAUGCUAAUACCUAAUAUUAUGAUAAUAGGGCAUCCUAUAAUUAUGAAAGCUAUAAGCGCUGUGAGAGAGCUUUGCGUCGCAUUAGCUAGUUGGAGAGGUAACGGCUCACCAAGGCGAUGAUGGGUAGCCGGCCUGAGAGGGUGAUCGGCCACAAGGGGACUGAGACACGGCCCUUACUCCUACGGGAGGCAGCAGUGGGGAAUAUUGGACAAUGGACCGAGAGUCUGAUCCAGCAAUUCUGUGUGCACGAUGAAGUUUUUCGGAAUGUAAAGUGCUUUCAGUUGGGAAGAAACAAAUGACGGUACCAACAGAAGAAGUGACGGCUAAAUACGU